AGACCGAUAGCGAACAAGUACAGUGAUGGAAAGAUGAAAAGCACUUUGNAAAAGAGAGUGAAACAGCACGUGAAAUUGUUGAAAGGGAAGGGCUUGCAAGCAGACACGGUUUUACCGGGCCAGCGUCGAAAAGGGGGGAGGAACAAGAACUCGAGAAUGUGGCGCGCACCUUCGGGCGCGCGUGUUAUAGCUCGUGUUGACGCCUCCAUCCCUUUUCGAGGCCUGCGAUUCUAGGACGCUGGCGUAAUGGUUGCAAGCCGCCCGUCUUGAAACACGGACCAAG
rnacentral:rRNA from 1 species